rnacentral:rRNA from 1 species
UACGGAGGAUGCAAGCGUUAUCCGGAAUUAUUGGGCGUAAAGCGUGCGUAGGUGGCUUUACAAGUCAGCUGUUAAAGCGUGGAGCUUAACUCCAUAAAGGCAGUUGAAACUGUGAGGCUAGAGUGCGGUAGGGGUAAGGGGAAUUCCUAGUGUAGCGGUGAAAUGCGUAGAUAUUAGGAAGAACACCGGUGGCGAAGGCGGCCUGCUGGGCAGGGGCUGACACUGAGGCGCGACAGCGUGGGGAGCAAACAGG